CCCUGCGCGGACCCGGCGUCCCUCGGUGGCGGCGCGGCGGGAGGGAGGAGCCGUUUUCCGCGGACGGUUUUGCUGCCGAGCUGCGCAGGCGCCUUCUCCUUCCCAGCGCGGGCGCCACCAGCGCGUCUCGCCCUCUGCGGUUGCGUCUGAGCACCAGGACACCCCAUCCCGCCUCCUGGCCCGUCUCGUCGCUUCGUGCCUUUGCUCUUCCUAGCAAGUGUGGAGGUAUCGGUGCCUGGGAUGUCUUCACCGUGUCCGUCGGAGAUCCGGAUUGUCCACACGUGAUGGACUGAGCCAGAGCAAAUCCCGAUUGCGGAGCAAUGCCGGUGUCCUCCACUCGGGGUUUCUUAGCGGGGGGACGUCACCGUGUAGCCACACAGGUCAGAGUGAGCCGAGCGAUGGUGAUUUCCUAGCCCAGCACGUCCCGGGUAAUGACCUCGGCUCCUCCAUCCCCAGAAGGAUUUUGUUACUCUGAGCAGUACAGGUCCAAGUGGCAUGAUGCUGAAGGCACUGGCUCCCACGUGACUGAUUCUGCAGCUGUAGUCCUGAUGCAGCAGCUUGGGGAACACAUAGGGAUCCCCAAGCAGAAGGGGAGCUGAGGCCCGACUCCAUGCCUGCCAUGGCCAGCAAAGUGGAUCUGUCUCUAGAGGACAUCACCAAACUGAACCGCAGCCAGCGGUGCCCUGAACACGGCGAAGAGCCAAGGGACACCUAUCCUGAGAAGCAAGGAGGCACAGGUCACAUCUGCCCAAGGCCAGCACUCUAAAGCAGGCCCAGGUGACUCUCAGACCAGCGUCAGCACCAUGUGACUGACUGUGACUUCAGAGGCGGUGUGGGCUCCAAGUCCCACAGGCAGCAGCUGCUGCUGCUGUCCAACCUGUACCCCAGUGUGUCCAACACAUAUAUCCAGACGUUCUUGGGCUAAUUUGGAGCAUUCCAGAAGCAGGAAGCUGUGCACUAUGAUGGCUCUGGUCACAGCUUGGGCACAGCCACUAUGUACUUCCAGUGGAAGGCUAAUCCCCUGAAGGUGCUGAGGGAGUACUACGGUGUCCCUUUGGAUGGCUGCCCCUUGAGCAUCCAGGUGGUCACCUUGCCCAGGGAUAUUCCAAAGAUACCUACCCCAAGUAGGAAUGGAGGAGGCCUGAACUGGAAGCGUGGUUCAGGUGGUCAGCUCCUGGCCAUGGCUCCUGGUGAGGUGGCACGAGAAAAGACUAAGUUCUAGACCACCAUUCAAAGCAGCAGCUUGUGCAGAGGAACUGGACACCCAACUCAAUGCCUACAAAGCCACUGCUGUCACAAGAAAAGGACAAUCCUUAACUAGACCUUCAAAUCCUGGUGGGGCACAGAUCUUGCUCAGUUUUCUGCUCCCAGGCGGAAGACAGAGUGCCCAAGGCUGUGGGCCCAACGUUGAGUUUCUUUCUCUCACAUUGUACAAUAAAAUUUAAA